CAUAUGAUGUUGAAUAUGUGUUUUGUUUUAGAUGUUUUUUGGGUUAACAAACGAACGUUUGUUUGUUUGA
rnacentral:tRNA from 1 species